AUUGAACGCUGGCGGCAUGCCUUACACAUGCAAGUCGAACGGCAGCACGGGAGCAAUCCUGGUGGCGAGUGGCGAACGGGUGAGUAAUACAUCGGAACGUGCCCAGUAGUGGGGGAUAACCCGGCGAAAGCCGGACUAAUACCGCAUACGACCUACGGGUGAAAGCGGGGGAUCGCAAGACCUCGCGCUAUCGGAGCGGCCGAUGUCAGAUUAGCUAGUUGGUGGGGUAAAGGCCUACCAAGGCGACGAUCUGUAGCUGGUCUGAGAGGACGACCAGCCACACUGGGACUGAGACACGGCCCAGACUCCUAAGGGAGGCAGCAGUGGGGAAUUUUGGACAAUGGGCGCAAGCCUGAUCCAGCCAUGCCGCGUGCGGGAAGAAGGCCUUCGGGUUGUAAACCGCUUUUGUCAGGGAAGAAACGCUCCGGGCUAAUACCACGGAGUAAUGACGGUACCUGAAGAAUAAGCACCGGCUAACUACGUG
rnacentral:rRNA from 1 species